rnacentral:rRNA from 1 species
GACGAACGCUGGCGGCGUGCUUAACACAUGCAAGUCGAACGGAAAGGCCCAGCUUGCUGGGUGCUCGAGUGGCGAACGGGUGAGUAACACGUGGGUGAUCUGCCCCUAACUUCGGGAUAAGCUUGGGAAACUGGGUCUAAUACCGGAUAGGACAAUCGUUUAGUGUCGGUUGUGGAAAGUUUUUUCGGUUAGGGAUGAGCCCGCGGCCUAUCAGCUUGUUGGUGGGGUAAUGGCCUACCAAGGCGUCGACGGGUAGCCGGCCUGAGAGGGUGGACGGCCACAUUGGGACUGAGAUACGGCCCAGACUCCUACGGGAGGCAGCAGUGGGGAAUAUUGCACAAUGGGCGCAAGCCUGAUGCAGCGACGCCGCGUGGGGGAUGACGGCCUUCGGGUGGUAAACCUCUUUCGACAGGGACGAAGCUUUGGUGACGGUACCUGUAUAAGAAGCACCGGCGAACUACGU